rnacentral:rRNA from 1 species
GAUGAACGCUCGCGGGAGGCCUAACACAUGCAAGCCGAGCGGUAUUGUUUCUUCGGCAAUGAGAGAGCGGCGUACGGGUGCGUAACACGUGUGCAACCUGCCUUUAUCUGGGGGAUAGCCUUUCGAAAGGAAGAUUAAUACUCCAUAAUAUAUUGAACGGCAUCGUUUAAUAUUGAAAGCUCCGGCGGAUAGAGAUGGGCACGCGCAAGAUUAGCUAGUUGGUGAGGUAACGGCUCACCAAGGCGAUGAUCUUUAGGGGGCCUGAGAGGGUGAUCCCCCACACUGGUACUGAGACACGGACCAGACUCCUACGGGAGGCAGCAGUGAGGAAUAUUGGUCAAUGGGUGCAAGCCUGAACCAGCCAUCCCGCGUGAAGGACGACUGCCCUAUGGGUUGUAAACUUCUUUUGUAUAGGGAUAAACCUACCCUCGAGAGGGUAGCUGAAGGUACUAUACGAAUAAGCACCGGCUAACUCCGUG